CCUACGGGCGGCUGCAGUGGGGAAUAUUGCACAAUGGGGGAAACCCUGAUGCAGCAACGCCGCGUGAAGGAAGACGGUUUUCUGAUUUUAAACUUCUGUUCUUAGGGGAGAAUAAUGACGGUAGCUAAGGAGCAAGCCACGGCUAAAUACGUGCCAGCAGCCGCGGUAAUACGUAGGUGGCAAGCGUUGUCCGGAAUUACUGGGUUUAAGGGGAGCGCAGGCGGGUAGCCAAGUCAGUUGUGAAAACUACGGGCUUAACUUGUAGAGUGCAGUUGAAACUGGUUUUCUUGAGUGAAGUAGAGGUAGGCGGAAUUCGGGGUGUAGCGGUGAAAUGCGUAGAUAUCCAGAGGAACACCGAUGGCGAAGGCGGCCAGCUGGGCUGUAACUGACGCUGAUGCUCGAAAGUGUGGGGAGCAAACAGGAUUAGAUACCCGUGUAGUC
rnacentral:rRNA from 1 species